AGAGUUUGAUCCUGGCUCAGGAUGAACGCUAGCUACAGGCUUAACACAUGCAAGUCGAGGGGCAUCAGUUUGGUUUGCUUGCAAACCAAAGCUGGCGACCGGCGCACGGGUGAGUAACACGUAUCCAACCUGCCUCAUACUCGGGGAUAGCCUUUCGAAAGAAAGAUUAAUAUCCGAUAGCAUAUAUUUCCCGCAUGGGUUUUAUAUUAAAGAAAUUCGGUAUGAGAUGGGGAUGCGUUCCAUUAGUUGUUGGCGGGGUAACGGCCACCAAGACUACGAUGGAUAGGGGUUCUGAGAGGAAGGUCCCCCACGAUUGGAACUGAGACACGGUCCAAACUCCGUACGGGAGGCUA
rnacentral:rRNA from 1 species